UAAUAAUGACAAAAUGAGAACAGGAACAUAACCAAAUAUGGGCACAGGGGGAGAAAACGCAACAAACAGUCCAUAACUGUGACAGUUUGUCCUUUCCUGGGUAUGUUAUUUUCUUCAUACCCAGUGAAAGAGAUUAAGUUUUCUUGAAGGACAUUUGACCCUUUCUAUGGUUGGAGGACUUUUUAAAUUUACAUCUUCUAAGACUGAAAACAAGACAUGCUAGAUGUCAUUUUAAACUCUUUUGUGGUCAAGUACCUAUAAGUGACACUCAGAUGUAAUCCCCUUGUGAGGAAUGUCAAAGUAAGUGUGGUCUCUCAGACUCUAGAGACUUUAAUACCAUUCCAGGAGCUUUUGAUCAGACUUGUGACCUGCAAACAACAACUUCCUGUGUGAGAUUAUACCAUUUACCUCGCAAUCACAUCAUCACAAGGGCAAAUUACCAACUACACUUUUUCCUUUACUUAUUUUUUGUCUCGCCAUACUUGGCUUGGAUAGUCGCCAUAUAAACAAGCCAACUAACCAUGUCAUGAUUAGAAAAGGCCAUGUGGUUUCAUUACCUGGAUGAAUAAAGGUCACCCCACUGUGCUGUGUAGAGAAACUAAAGCCUCCUCCAGCCAUCUGGAAUUUACUGUUCCCAUCAUAAACUGCUGUAAUUGGCAACCUUAUCGCAGAUGAGUGUGAAUUCAGUCUCUCAUCUGAGCCAUAAGGAAAGACUGUUAGUGCUGAAGGGAGAAGCUGCUCAUCAUCUCAGGCAGAAACAGGACCCUGGGUUAUGGUACCAGACCCAGGAAACAUAACAAAAGGGGCUCUGUUGCAUAUCUGCCCUGAAGCCCAGCUCUCCCCUGAGGUCUGCCUGACCAUCGAUCGCAAGCUACAUGACAAACAAGCAGAAUGAGCUGCCCAGCAAGCAGGACCACUUUAAACAGGAGUCAUUCUGUGCCUGUCAAUUACCCACACUUACUGUUACGAACUCAUUCGUUUUCAAGGUCCCCACCAACUGUGCAUGAGCAAUGUUCAAUAAUGCUUCUGUAACUGUUUACACUUAAAAGAACGUUUUAC